AGAGUUUGAUCAUGGCUCAGAUUGAACGCUAGCGGGAUGCCUUACACAUGCAAGUCGAACGGCAGCGCGGACUUCGGUCUGGCGGCGAGUGGCGAACGGGUGAGUAAUGUAUCGGAACGUGCCCAGUAGCGGGGGACAACCACUCGAAAGAGUGGCUAAUACCGCAUACGCCCUACGGGGAAAGGGGGGAUCGCAAGACCUCUCACUAUUGGAGCGGCCGAUAUCGGAUUAGCUAGUUGGUGGGGCAAAGGCCUACCAAGGCGACGAUCCGUAGCUGGUUUGAGAGGACGACCAGCCACACUGGGACUGAGACACGGCCCAGACUCCUACGGGAGGCAGCAGUGGGGAAUUUUGGACAAUGGGGGAAACCCUGAUCCAGCCAUUCCGCGUGUGCGAUGAAGGCCUUCGGGUUGUAAAGCACUUUUGGCAGGAAAGAAAUCGUGUGGGUUAAUACCCUGCGCGGAUGACGGUACCUGCAGAAUAAGCACCGGCUAACUACGUG
rnacentral:rRNA from 1 species